rnacentral:tRNA from 1 species
GCCUGGAUAGCUCAGUGGUAGAGCGCAGCCCUGAAGAGGCUGGCGUCGUCAGUUCAAUUCUGACUCCAGGCA